GUUAAGUUCCUCUCAAGAAUUGCCAUUGGAAGACUUUGUUGUAACAAGGAAAGCAUGGGUUCGAUUGCAAAGAGGGGGUUGCAGCAGUACUUGCUUCAGCAUCAGCAUCAUCGUCUCAGAACUAAGUGGGGUUUUGUCAGCGAUCAGUGACAUAGUGUCUCGGAAGCUCACCGGGAUUCAGAAACGUCAGUUAAGACGUCUGCUUCUCAAAGUGCUUUUUGGAGCUGUUUAUCUUGGACCAUUUGGGCAUUUCCUGCAUUUACUACUUGAUAAGAUUUUCAAAGGGAAGAAGGAUUCAAAAACAGUAGCCA